rnacentral:piRNA from 1 species
UGAAAGUACGUGUGUGUUUUCAGGGCUGA